UACGAAGGGGGCUAGCGUUGCUCGGAAUCACUGGGCGUAAAGCGCACGUAGGCGGAUCUUUAAGUCAGGGGUGAAAUCCUGGAGCUCAACUCCAGAACUGCCUUUGAUACUGGAGAGCUUGAGUCCGGAGGAGGUGAGUGGAACUCCGAGUGUAGAGGUGAAAUUCGUAGAUAUUCGCAAGAACACCAGUGGCGAAGGCGGCUCACUGGCCCGAUACUGACGCUGAGGCACGAAAGCGUGGGGAGCAAACAGG
rnacentral:rRNA from 1 species